AAGACACUUACUGUUUAAUUGCCGAACAAAACUAGAAAAAUUAUUGUGCUUGAAAUACCGUGGAAGAACCAGCUUAGCAAAAUCUUCAUGCCCUAUAACCAAAAACGAAUCACCCCGGUCGCUCCAUCGAAUUAAGGAAUCUGUCGACGAGUCGUUCACCAUAUUGUACAGUUUAUUACUAAACUGUGUGAUUUUCCUAUUUUGUGAAGAACCUGAGCCCGACAUCCCUACGGACAUCGAAUUUUGUGUCCCAUUCAUCUCCGGUGAAUUUGCGCUGCUGGACUCCAUUCCCUGAUUCGUUCCGCCAUUGCUUGAAAUUGUC